UUAAAGAAAGCGUAAUAGCUCACUGGUCGAGUCGGCCUGCGCGGAAGAUGUAACGGGGCUAAGUAGUAAACCGAAGCUGCGGCAAUAUACUUUUGUAUAUUGGGUAGGGGAGCGUUCUGUAAGCGGUUGAAGGUGUGUGGUAACGCAUGCUGGACGUAUCAGAAGUGCGAAUGCUGACAUGAGUAACGAUAAAGGGGGUGAAAAACCUCCUCGCCGGAAGACCAAGGGUUCCUGUCCAACGUUAAUCGGGGCAGGGUAAGUCGACCCCUAAGGCGAGGCCGAAAGGCGUAGUCGAUGGGAAACGGGUUAAUAUUCCCGUACUUCUUACAAUUGCGAUGGGGGGACGGAGAAGGCUAGGUGGGCCUGGCGACGGUUGUCCAGGUUCAAGUGCGUAGGCUUAAGAGUUAGGUAAAUCCGGCUCUUU
rnacentral:rRNA from 1 species